rnacentral:rRNA from 1 species
AAGAAUAUUAGUCAAUGGCCUAACGGCUGAACUGGCAACUUGGAGAAGUGGCAAGUCUUCCAGUAUGGGGAGCAAAACAGCUAUGGGUCAAGUCCGAUAUCUUUAGGAGAAGUCUUAUUGUGAGGGCGAGUUAUAUAACACCAUAGGACUGGCCGUCCCAUAUGAAAAGAUUAUAUUAGAAUUGAAUGAAGCUUUGUUUAUAUAUUGAUAAUGACAGUAUAUAUAUCGUGUCUUGACUAAUUGCGUGCCAGCAGUCGCGGUAAUACGUAAGAGACUAGUGUUAUUCAUCUUAAUUAGGUUUAAAGGGUACCCAGACGGUCAAUAUAGCUUAUAAAAUGUUAGUACUUGACUAGAGUUUUAUGUAAGAGGGCAGUACUUGAGGAGGAGAGAUGAAAUUUCGUGAUACCAAAGGGACUCUGUAAAGGCGAAGGCAGCCCUCUAUGUAAAAACUGACGUUGAAGGACGAAGGCACAGAGAACAAACAGGAUUAGAUACCCAAGUAGUCUUUGCAGUAAAUGAUGAAUGCCAUAGGUUAGAUUGAUCAAUUAUAGUCUAGGGUUAGUCUAGCAAACUAAUGCCCUAUGAUAUAAUUCAAAAUAUCUGGUCUAUAAAUGAAAGUGUAAGCAUUUCACCUCAAGAGUAAUGUGGCAACGCAGGAACUGAAAUCACUAGACCGUUUCUGACACCAGUAGUGAAGUAUGUUAUUUAAUUC